GGUGGUAUGGUGUAACGGUAGCACGUAGUGUUGUGGAAUUCUUUGGAAUAUUACUGAUAAAGUGAUACUGAUCCGCUAAGAUCCGGGUUCGAUUCCCAGUACCGCCA